rnacentral:rRNA from 1 species
AACGAACGCUGGCAGCAUGCCUAACACAUGCAAGUCGAACGAGAUCUUCGGGUCUAGUGGCGCACGGGUGCGUAACGCGUGGGAAUCUGCCCUUUGGUUCGGAAUAACAGUUGGAAACGACUGCUAAUAUCGGAUGAUGACGAAAGUCCAAAGAUUUAUCGCCAGAGGAUGAGCCCGCGUAGGAUUAGCUAGUUGGUGUGGUAAAGGCGCACCAAGGCGACGAUCCUUAGCUGGUCUGAGAGGAUGAUCAGCCACACGGGGACUGAGACACGGCCCAGACUCCUACGGGAGGCAGCAGUGGGGAAUAUUGGACAAUGGGCGAAAGCCUGAUCCAGCAAUGCCGCGUGAGUGAUGAAGGCCUUAGGGUUGUAAAGCUCUUUUACCCGGGAUGAUAAUGACAGUACCGGGAGAAUAAGCUCCGGCUAACUCCGUGCCAGCCGCCGCCGUAA